UACAAUUGGAAUGUGUUAAUAUGCUAAAAAAUUGGAAAGAUACAGAGAAGAUUAGCACGGCCACUGUGCAAGGAUGACACACAAA
rnacentral:snRNA from 1 species